rnacentral:rRNA from 1 species
UGGGGAAUCUUGCACAAUGGGGGCAACCCUGAUGCAGCGACGCCGCGUGAGCGAUGAAGGUUUUAGAAUCGUAAAGCUCUGUCCUAUGGGAAGAUAAUGACGGUACCAUAGGAGGAAGCCCCGGCUAACUACGUGCCAGCAGCCGCGGUAAUACGUAGGGGGCGAGCGUUGUCCGGAAUUACUGGGCGUAAAGGGUUCGCAGGCGGCAUGGCAAGUCCGAUGUAAAAGGCGAAGGCUCAACCUUCGUAAGCAUCGGAAACUGUCAAGCUUGAGUGAAGGAGAGGCAAGUGGAAUUCCUAGUGUAGCGGUGAAAUGCGUAGAGAUUAGGAGGAACACCGGUGGCGAAAGCGGCUUUUUGGCCUGCAACUGACACUGAGGCGCGAAAGCGUGGGGAGCAAACAGG